CGUGCCCAGAUCUAAGGAAUAGCCACUGGAAACGGUGAGUAAUACCUUAUACGCCCUUCGGGGAAAGAUUUAUCGGAUUUGGAUCGGCCCGCGUUAGAUUAGGUAGUUGGUGGGGUAACGGCCUACCAAGCCUACGAUCUAUAGCUGGUUUUAGAGGAUGAUCAGCAACACUGGGACUGAGACACGGCCCAGACUCCUACGGGAGGCAGCAGUGGGGAAUCUUGGACAAUGGGCGCAAGUGAUCCAGCCAUGCCGCGUGAGUGAUGAAGGCCUUAGGGUCGUAAAGCUCUUUCGCCAGGGAUGAUAAUGACAGUACCUGGUAAAGAAACCCCGGCUAACUCCGUGCCAGCAGCCGCGGUAAUACGGAGGGGGUUAGCGUUGUUCGGAAUUACUGGGCGUAAAGCGCGCGUAGGGGAGUAGUCAGUCAGAGGUGAAAUCCCAGGGCUCAACCCUGGAACUGCCUUUGGUACUGCUAGUCUUGAGUUCGAGAGAGGUAAGUGGAAUUCCGAGUGUAGAGGUGAAAUUCGUAGAUAUUCGGAGGAACACCAGUGGCGAAGGGGCUUACUGGCUCGAUACUGACGCUGAGGUGCGAAAGUGUGGGGAGCAAACAGGAUUAGAUACCCUGGUAGUCCACACCGUAAACGAUGAAUGCCAGUCGUCGGGUAGCAUGCUAUUCGGUGACACACCUAACGGAUUAAGCAUUCCGCCUGGGGAGUACGGUCGCAAGAUUAAAACUCAAAGGAAUUGACGGGGGCCC
rnacentral:rRNA from 1 species